rnacentral:rRNA from 1 species
GACGAACGCUGGCAGCGUGCCUAAUACAUGCAAGUUGAGCGAUGAAGAUUGGUGCUUGCACCAAUUUGAAGAGCAGCGAACGGGUGAGUAACGCGUGGGGAAUCUGCCUUUGAGCGGGGGACAACAUUUGGAAACGAAUGCUAAUACCGCAUAACAACUUUAAACAUAAGUUUUAAGUUUGAAAGAUGCAAUUGCAUCACUCAAAGAUGAUCCCGCGUUGUAUUAGCUAGUUGGUGAGGUAAAGGCUCACCAAGGCGAUGAUACAUAGCCGACCUGAGAGGGGGAUCGGCCACAUUGGGACUGAGACACGGCCCAAACUCCUACGGGAGGCAGCAGUAGGGAAUCUUCGGCAAUGGACGAAAGUCUGACCGAGCAACGCCGCGUGAGUGAAGAAGGGUUUCGGAUCGUAAAACUCUGUUGGUAGAGAAGAACGUUUGUGAGAGUGGAAAGCUCAUCAAGUGACGGUAACUACCCAGAAAGGGACGGCUAACUACGUG